GUCGUGGCUGCAGGUGGAGAAGCUGCAGCAGAAGACUCAGCUGGCUCUGCAACACGUGCUGCAGAAGAACCAGAGAGAAGACCGAGCGCUGAAUAAGAGUACAGAAACAGAAUCGAGGAAUCUGUUUCUGUAUCUUCAGACCCUGUUGGACGAACAGCAGCAGUUUGAAUGAAUUCACUGAGAUACAGACGGCCCUCCAACAUGAGCUUUCCUGUACGACAGCAGCAUCACGUCGGUGCUUAUGGAUUUCCUGAUGUUGGGAGAGUUGGUGUAGAGCGAGAAGAGAAGGGGACCCAGGACGGAACCCUGAAGAACUCCAGCAGUAAGAGGACAAGGUUCCGACACAGAUCCUCUCCAGGUUACCUGGUAGGUGCGGCUGUCGAGGUAGGACGAGAGAAGGGAGAGAGCAGAGCCUGAGACACCAAGUUCCUGAAGGGAGGAGACAAG
ensembl:lncRNA